rnacentral:tRNA from 1 species
AGCUAUUUAUCUUUUUGGAAAGAAAAUGUUUUGAAAGCAUUCUAAAGAAGUUCAAAUCUUCUAAUAGCUU